rnacentral:rRNA from 1 species
GAUGAACGCUGGCGGCGUGUCUAAUACAUGCCAGUCGAGCGAACGGACGAGAAGCUUGCUUCUCUGAUGUUAGCGGCGGACGGGUGAGUAACACGUGGAUAACCUACCUAUAAGACUGGGAUAACUUCGGGAAACCGGAGCUAAUACCGGAUGAUAUUUUGAACCGCAUGGUUCAAAAGUGAAAGACGGUCUUGCUGUCACUUAUAGAUGGAUCCGCGCUGCAUUAGCUAGUUGGUAAGGUAACGGCUUACCAAGGCAACGAUGCAUAGCCGACCUGAGAGGGUGAUCGGCCACACUGGAACUGAGACACGGUCCAGACUCCUACGGGAGGCAGCAGUAGGGAAUCUUCCGCAAUGGGCGAAAGCCUGACGGAGCAACGCCGCGUGAGUGAUGAAGGUCUUCGGAUCGUAAAACUCUGUUAUUAGGGAAGAACAUAUGUGUAAGUAACUGUGCACAUCUUGACGGUACCUAAUCAGAAAGCCACGGCUAACUACGUG